GACGAACGCUGGCGGCGUGCUUAACACAUGCAAGUCGAACGAAGUGGCGCACGGGUGAGUAACGCGUAAUCAACCUGCCCUUCAGCGGGGGACAACAGUUGGAAACGACUGCUAAUACCGCAUACUGAAGGUGGGGAUUGCGUCUGAUUAGCUAGUUGGUGGGGUAACGGCCCACCAAGGCGAUGAUCAGUAGCCGGUCUGAGAGGAUGAACGGCCACAUUGGGACUGAGACACGGCCCAGACUCCUACGGGAGGCAGCAGUGGGGAAUCGUCCGCAAUGGACGAAAGUCUGACGGAGCAACGCCGCGUGAGUGAUGAAGGCCUUCGGGUUGUAAAGCUCUGUUAAUCGGGACGCGGUACCGGAAUAGAAGGCAACGGCUAACUACGUGCCAGCACCGCGGUAAUUC
rnacentral:rRNA from 1 species